AUUGAACGCUGGCGGCAGGCCUAACACAUGCAAGUCGAGCGGAGCGGCGGACGGGUGAGUGAUGACUAGGAAUCUGCCUGGUAGUGGGGGAUAAAGUACGGAAACGGGAGCUAAUAACGCAUGCUAUCAAGGGAGCCUAGGUCGGAUUGGCUAGUUGGUGGGGUAAAGGCCUACCAAGGCGACGAUCCGUAGCUGGUCUGAGAGGAUGAUCAGUCACACUGGAACUGAGACACGGUCCAGACUCCUACGGGAGGCAGCAGUGGGGAAUAUUGGACAAUGGGCGAAAGCCUGAUCCAGCCAUGCCGCGUGUGUGAAGAAGGUCUUCGGAUUGUAAAGCACUUUAAGUUGGGAGGCGUUACCAACAGAAUAAGCACCGGCUAACUUCGUGCCAGCAGCCGCGGUAAUAC
rnacentral:rRNA from 1 species